UCCCUGCCCUUUGUACACACCGCCCGUCGCUACUACCGAUUGAAUGAUUUAGUGAGCUCUUCGGACCGACGCGCGGCGAUCCCCUCGUGGGACUGCCGAUGUCGCCGAAAAGAUGAGCAAACUUGAUUAUUUAGAGGAAGUAAAAGUCGUAACAAGGUUGCUGUAGGUGAACCUGCAGCAGGAUCAUUA
rnacentral:rRNA from 1 species